rnacentral:tmRNA from 1 species
GGGGAUGUCACGGUUUCGACGUGGACAGUGUGAGGUGUUUGUGAGGCGUGCCGGGCGACCAUGCCGCUCGUCAAAACGUGUGGAAACCAUUACCUGCCGAAACGCAGGAAUUUGCUCUCGCAGCCUAAAAACUGCUGAGCCGUCUGCCCAUCCGGUGGCUCGUGCCGGAUGACGCAGGCGUGACGUUCACGAGCUGGCGGCAACGCUGCGCCGAGGGCGUGGCCGCGAGAUAAAACUCGGCUGGUAGUUGCGCUGCUCAAGGUCGCUGCUCCGGCGGCGCAAGUACGAGAUGCAACGGAAGCGACUACGCACGUAGUCUCCAACGCCGAAGGUUCGCGGACGAGGGUUCAACUCCCUCCAUCUCCACCA